rnacentral:tRNA from 1 species
GCCAGCAUGGCACAGUGGUUUGAGUGCUGGACUAUGACUCUGGAGACCAGGAUUCAAUUCCCAGCUCAGCCA